UGUAUCAAAGAAGAACGAAGGUCUUACGGAUGUGGAAUGACACGAUAAGUAUGACAGCAUUUUCAUUUUUAGUUGAAGUUAUCAAGGAGAAAAUACAAAAGUGACCAUUUAGUUCAGUGGAAUCGACAAUAAACACUUUUUGAUUUUGGUUUAUUUGAGCAGGAGUGGAAUUUUAAGCUUGAAGUUGCUAUGAGUUCUAGAUUGGCAAAUCGUUCUCUGCAUAGAUGGGCACUGAUCCGACAAAUUCAAUAAACCUACCUGAGGCUGGAGGAAGCUCGAUGCUUGUCAACACACGCUGCUAAAGACCCCCUCUGAUGGCCGACCACAUGCAGCUCUUUAAAUUGGAUCACUGCGACUGCAGAUGUACAUGCAAGUUUCAUAUUACAGCAUUCACACUGGGAGCAGGCCAUGUGGAGUCACGCCCUUUUCACCAAAAUGAAAACACUUUACACAUGAAUCCAAUAUCAGCAACAUCAAGACAAGCUGACGUCUUCCCAUCGCUGGGCUGGCUGAGGGAGGAGGAAACAUACUGGGGCAUUUGACAUUUCCCUGAGCGCUUCAUACCAGCUCACCAAGGCGUCUGUAAAGAGUCAGGAGUAAAUCACAGCUGGGAUAGGAUGUAUUGCCAAAUGG